rnacentral:rRNA from 1 species
AGGAAGUAAAAGUCGUAACAAGGUCUCCGUUGGUGAACCAGCGGAGGGAUCAUUACCGAGUUUACAACUCCCAAACCCAAUGUGAACGUUACCAAACUGUUGCCUCGGCGGGGUCACGCCCCGGGUGCGUCGCAGCCCCGGAACCAGGCGCCCGCCGGAGGAACCAACCAAACUCUUUCUGUAGUCCCCUCGCGGACGUAUUUCUUACAGCUCUGAGCAAAAAUUCAAAAUGAAUCAAAACUUUCAACAACGGAUCUCUUGGUUCUGGCAUCGAUGAAGAACGCAGCGAAAUGCGAUAAGUAAUGUGAAUUGCAGAAUUCAGUGAAUCAUCGAAUCUUUGAACGCACAUUGCGCCCGCCAGUAUUCUGGCGGGCAUGCCUGUCCGAGCGUCAUUUCAACCCUCGAACCCCUCCGGGGGAUCGGCGUUGGGGAUCGGGACCCCUCACACGGGUGCCGGCCCCUAAAUACAGUGGCGGUCUCGCCGCAGCCUCUCCUGCGCAGUAGUUUGCACAACUCGCACCGGGAGCGCGGCGCGCCCACGUCCGUAAAACACCCAACUUUCUGAAAUGUUGACCUCGGAUCAGGUAGGAAUACCCGCUGAACUUAAGCAUAUCAAUAAG